rnacentral:rRNA from 1 species
AUUGAACGCUGGCGGCAGGCCUAACACAUGCAAGUCGAACGGUAACAGGAAACAGCUUGCUGUUUCGCUGACGAGUGGCGGACGGGUGAGUAAUGUCUGGGAAACUGCCUGAUGGAGGGGGAUAACUACUGGAAACGGUAGCUAAUACCGCAUAACGUCGCAAGACCAAAGAGGGGGACCUUCGGGCCUCUUGCCAUCGGAUGUGCCCAGAUGGGAUUAGCUAGUAGGUGGGGUAACGGCUCACCUAGGCGACGAUCCCUAGCUGGUCUGAGAGGAUGGCCAGCGACACUGGAACUGAGACACGGUCCAGCCUCCUACGGGAGGAAGCAGUGGUGAAUAUUGCACAAUGGGCGGAAGCCUGAUGCAGCCAUGCCGCGUGUAUGAAGAAGGCCUUCGGGUUGUAAAGUACUUUCAGCGGGGAGGAAGGGAGUAAAGUUAAUACCUUUGCUCAUUGACGUUACCCGCAGAAGAAGCACCGGCUAACUCCGUG